GGCUGCAAGGAAGGCCUGGCUGUGACAUCUGCCACCCCACUGACCACCAGGGUUGAUUCAGAUGAUCUGGCUGGCUAGACCAGCUGUCUGCUUCCUCCUUCCUGGCUCCAUGUGCACCCAUCCUGAAGCUCAGUGGAGGAGGAGGAUCUUCCCCGGUAGAGGAAAACCAAUCUUUCAUCAAGGAUAUUUGAGUUGCUAUGCUCCCCUGCUAGAAUCUCCAAACAUUAAGGCCUGCUUCCCAGCAACCAGCUUUCUCCAACUACAUCUCACCUCCCAAAGGUU
rnacentral:snRNA from 1 species